GAAGGAGACUAUUUACUUAUUGGGAUUGGCGAUUAGCUUUUUGAAAACGUAUGCGGUAAUACUCUUUCAACGCAUCUCAACCAGUGAAGAAGGUUUUGAAUAACAUACAGGACCCUAGUGGGUAUUGCGGCAAGUUGCAGAGGGCGUAAAAUUAGGCUUGCUGUGAUGGUAAUGUGUUUCUUUUUGCAAAUUUCAAUGUAAGUGGAUGACAAAUUACGCGACACACGACUUGAGUGGGGACAUUCACAGUAUCGCGUUGCCGGCACGGUUAACAACAUAGUUAAAGUCAUCGAAAAGGCAGAGUUGGACGUGAUCGGAUACAGUGCGUAUAGGACAGAAAUUUAUAUUAUCCACCAUAUAUAUGAACAUCAUCUGGAUAAUAUAAGAAACAAACGAAAUCAAGUAUUUCGAUUAGAAAGUGAAAUCUAUAUGGACUAAAUUGUUUUAUAUUUCGGUGAGUAACCAUUCUGGAAUUUACGUUUGCAAUGAAGGCAUCCAUCUUGGACUUGUGACACACACAAUUGGUAAAAGGAUAUAUUAAUAUGUAUUAAAUAUUUAAAACCACAAAAAACAAUCCAAAAAAACGAUCUCUCAAAUCCACUCGUUUUGUGAUAGUCCUGCUGUGAAAAUAAUCGUUCAACAGGAUUGAUUACCAUGGUGACGAUGGGUACACGGUGGUUGGUCCGAUUGUAUUUCUUGCUGCUGGUGGUGGCUAUCCUGGUAAUGAUUUUCACCGAAGUCAGCGGAGCCAAGUGUAGGCGAAAAAUCACGACAGAAUCACCAACAACAACAACGCCAGCACCACCAACAACAAAGCUUCAUCCAUAGUUGCUCAGCAACUAUAAUGGAUUGAUCAUCAUUCUGUUGACAAUCAUGAUCAAAGCAUUUUGUAACAAGUUGUUGAGUUCAUUAACGUUACGGAGCAUUUGAAGAAAGUUUCGUUGUAAAUUUCAAAUUGUAUAUUGAAUUUUCUAACUGUUGUUACAUUGGAUAAAAUGAAUGGACCGGGAAAAACGCUAUCUAUUCCGAAGGAGCAGUCUAUACAUUCUUACGUUUCAUGUCGCCUGAAGUGAUUGGGAUUAUUUACCUUCGGCAAUUCGUUUAAACAACAGUGCCCGAGCAAGCUGCUUUGCAUAAAAUAUCAUUGAUAAAGCUCACUUCAGUAUUCAAAAAUAUAUAUCAGCCUCGUUCUGGAAAACUGUUUUUAAUGCACGUUCGUAAGGCGUAAUUACCGCAGAGGCAAAUCAGGGACGACACGUUCCGCUUUUAUGGAAUUUUUCGUUUGAAGGAAGUCUCUCCUUAAAGAAUAUCCAGUCUAGGUGGAAAGCGUCGUCCUUGAUAAGCAUGUGCGGAUUGCAUUAAGCCCGGUAUUCCCAGAACUCGGCAUGUGUCUUUGCCGUGUAAGUAUUGAGCUUUGUAUAACAUAUAUGCGUUAAAAGCCAUAUUAUGUCCAAAGGACAUAACAUAUGUAAAAUAUUACAGAUGUAACAUAAAGGUUAACAUGUUAAUUAAAUAUAUA